rnacentral:lncRNA from 1 species
AGCCCACUGAUGCCCAUCCACCACGCCCCUGUGUUCCCCUGGCAGCACUGUGCUCUGGCACUGGGGUUCAGGGCGGACAGGCCAGAGACAGCCUUGGCCUGCAGGGAGUCCAGAGGGCUGGCUAACAUGCUUCCAGGCCAGGAGGCUCUGGUGUAAGGCUCCCUCCGGGUGGGUCUCCAGGGAACCCUGUUGUGGUAUAAGGGUCUACAAAUAUGAUGUACAGGUAGCGGGGUUCCUGAGGGGACUCCAGCUUCCUCUCUUCCACCUGCUUGGCUCAAGGAGGACUGCACUCCUUCCACUACUAAUAUGUGAGAGGUUCUGACUUGGUUCCUGCCCUUAGGGGUUCUCAUUCCAAGUCAAGUCAGGAGUCAUCCCUCAGUAUCCACAGGGCACUGGUUCUAGAACUCCCAUGAUACCAAAAUCUGAGAAUGCUUAAAUCCCGUAUGUGAAAUGGUGUAAUAUUUGCAUAUAACCUACACACAUCCUCCCCUGGAUUUUCUAUCAUUUCUAGAUUACCUAUGACACCUAAUACAAUGUAAAUGCCAGGUAAAUAUGAUGUAAAUGCUACCUAAAGGGCAAAUUCAAGUUUCGCUUUUUGCAACUUGAUGAAUUUUCCCCCCAAUAUUUUCAGUCUACAGUUGGUUACACCUAUGGAUGGGAACGCAUGGAUAAAGAGGGUCGACUGUAUACUUUCUUUCCAUAAUCUGUUACCACAGUGCCCACCCAAGGGAGACUUCACCUACUCUUAACAGAAGGAACUGUUAGCUCCAUUUUGCAGAAGAGAAAACUGAGGCUCAGAGACAGGAAAGGACUUGCUCAAGGUGUCACAGGAAGUGUCAAAGCGGGGAGGUGGGCUGACUACAAGCCUCUUGCUGUACCCUGCUGCCAACAGGAAAGGGUCCAGGCCAAGAAUUUUGGCAAGACACAAUGAAGCGAUAAAGGAAGUCAACCUCUGAUGGACUGGUGGGUCUGGCAUGCAGCCAGGCCCUCUGGGGCAGGAGGACGGGGUUGGAGGGGGUUGUACAAACCUGACCCAACACAGCCCACAAGUGGGAGGUGCUGCUUGCUGAGAAAAAAAGAGGAAGCAAGAACCUAAACCUAAGGGAGGAAGCUGAGUGGGAACGAGGCGGGCAGGGGCUGGGGUCCAGGUGGGGCAAGUUGAGGGGGG